GGCCUAACGGCUGAACAGCAACUUGCAGGAAUGAGAGUUAAUAUGUUUAUUAACUUGCUUGACUAGGUCUUAUAAAGUUCUGGAUAAAGCUUAUUAUGAAAACUUUAUAUCCAUAGGUCUCGACAAAAUCUUGUGCCAGCAGUCGCGGUAAGACAAGGGAGACGAGUGUUAUUCAUCUUUAACAGGUAUAUAGGGUACCUAGACGGUGUGCAAAGGCUUAAAUAAGUACCUUUUACACUUGAGUUUGAUAUGUGAGAGGAAUAUGUCGGAAUUAUUGGUGUAACGAUAAAAUUUAUUGAUACUAAUAGGACCGAUAACGGCGAAGGCAAACCUCUAUGUACAGGUACUUUGCUUAGGUUGGUUUUUUUACGUAAAAACCAAAACAAUCACAAAACCACAAUAAAUAAGUUGGUGAGUGUAAUAAGCAAAGUGCUACAACUGACGUUGAGGAACGAAGGCUCAGUUAGUGAAGGGGAUUAGAUACCCCCGUAGCCUGGGCAGACAAUUAUGAGUGCCAUAGGUUCGCUUUAUAGCGGGAGUAUAAACGAAAGUGGAAGCACUCCACCUCAAGAGUAAUGCGGCAACGCAGGAACUGAAAUCAUUAGACCGUUUCUGAAACCAGUAGUGAAGUAUGUUAUUUAAUUCGAUGGUCCUCGAAUAACCUUACCACAAUUUGAAUGACYUAAAAUAAUUUUUAAAAUUUUUAGACCACAUGCGUUGCAUGGCUGUCUUCAGUUAAUGUCGUGAGAUUUGGUUAGGUCCAUUAAAUUAACGUAAACCCUUGUUUUAUUUAUUAGUAUAAAGCAGCUCUCCGCGUACAAUUGGAUGUGAUAAUAGGGACUAAG
rnacentral:rRNA from 1 species